UAUUUUACAGAUGAGGAAAGUGAGACUUCACCAGAAAGGUAUCCAAUCAAUGGCAACAUCAAGAUCUGAAAGCCUAAAGUCUGAGAUCAGAGUGCCAGCAUGAUCAGCCUCUGCUGAGGGCUGUCUUCAGGGGUGCAGACUGCAGACUUCUCAUUGUAUCCUCAUGUGGUGGAAAGAGCAAGAUAACUCUCUGGGUCUUUUUUAGAAGAAUACUAAUUUCAUUCAUGA